rnacentral:rRNA from 2 species
UGGAGAACUGAGGGGGGCUGCUCCUAGUACGAGAGGACCGGAGUGGACGCAUCACUGGUGUUCGGGUUGUCAUGCCAAUGGCACUGCCCGGUAGCUAAAUGCGGAAGAGAUAAGUGCUGAAAGCAUCUAAGCACGAAACUUGCCCCGAGAUGAGUUCUCCCUGACUCCUUGAGAGUCCUGAAGGAACGUUGAAGACGACGACGUUGAUAGGCCGGGUGUGUAAGCGCAGCGAUGCGUUGAGCUAACCGGUACUAAUGAACCGUGAGGCUUAACCUUACAACGCCGAAG